rnacentral:lncRNA from 1 species
AGUGACAGCAACACCCACACACAAAAACAUCACAAACAAAACAGCAUGCAUGAAUGUGACCACAUAUGACAAUAUGACUACGAAGUACUACCCAUGAAAACAACACACAUAUACAAAAAAACACAAAAUUUGUGGCAUGCAUGAAUGUAACCACAUAUGCAAAUAUGACUACGAAGUACUACUAAUGGCAACAACAGUCUGACACCAAAAUUGGAUACAUGACUACGGUUUUUUCACAAAUUUGUGUAUUUGAAGUAGUGAAAUGGUUGAAUUAGGGUAGUACAUGUUGCUAGGUUUUCG